AAUAAUAACACCGGUGCUCAGGAAAGUCCAGAGUAAAUCCAAGGCCCUGCUGGGAAGCAGGGAGGUAUCUGGCACAGAAGGAAGGCUUUCUAUAAAGGGGGGCCAGCCGGCAUAAGGCCGAGGCCAGCGGAUGCGCUGGGAGGCAGCCGACUCCGCGGGAAGGAAAGUUCCUCUACCGACCCCGAGUCUGGUGAAAAGCGGACGCCAUUCUGUAAGGUGAAUCUGCUAACGGGAGGCAAGAAAAUUCAGGGGGCCCGAAAACCCAGCGCUGUGUCGUCGGCCGACGUUUGUUUGUCCGUGUGUUUGUCUUUGGCUCUCCGUGUUUUUGUGUGUGCCGGCAUUGUCUCUAGACUCGUUCUCUUCUGGUGCAUCGUUCUUUCUCACUUCUGACUUAUUCUCCUUCUCUUCUUCUCUGAUCUGCCCUCAACUCCUUUUCUUUUCGGGAGUUUCAGUGAACAGGCGAACGGUUGUGGGGGCAUUUGAUGAGUCCUGGCCAGGGCUACACUCUGGCGGACUCUGAAGGCCCUACAAUAAGUAAGCCUCAGUAACUAGAGCCCGACCGGGUGAAACUCUCCUUUAACAUCCCUAACUGAGGACGUGGCCUAAAAUUCUUCUUGUGGGCACGGGUCAGGCACUUAAAGGCCAUUAGGGCACCUGCCACUUGAAGACUCCCGUGAGAGGAUAAGGGGGUCACGGAACGGACUAGAAACCCCUAGGGUGCCCGCCCCCAGCAAGAAAACUUCCGUGCAACGACGCCGGCACAUAAACAGUUCCAAAAGCAUACCAUAAGCCCAACCUCUUGGCCGCCACCACUCCCGGUAGGAUUUUUGGUGGUCGUUCUCAGUGACUUCCUCUCUCUCUUCCUUACCGUUUAUUCUUUGACCAUGGGGCAGGGAGAAUCUACCCCACUUUCUCUCAUGACUGACCAUUUUUCGGAUGUCAGGGCCAGGGCCCAUAACUUGUCUUUGCUAGUCAAGAAAAGUAAAUUAAUAACUUUUUGUUCUGCAGUGGCCCGCCUUUCAGGUUGGAUGGCCUCCGGAAGGCACCUUUCAACCGUCCAUCAUACAGGCUGUGAAGGAGAAGAUUAUGGCUCCUGAUCCCUGGGGCCAUCCGAGUCAGGUCCCCUAUGUCAUGGUCUGGCAGGAUCUAGUGGAAAAUCCGCCUAAAUGGUUAAAACCUUUUGUUCACAAACUUCCUAGUUCCUCCAAUUCACAGGUCCUGGUGAUGGAGACCCCCCGGAGGAAACCAAAAAGAAAGAGGACCCAAAACCAGUCCUUCAGGAAUCAUCUUAUCCAAACCUGAUAGAUCUAGAAACGGAGAUAAGGCCUCUGCCAUAUGUGCCCUCCUUGCAAUCCCCUCCAAGGAGAGAAGCUCCCACAGGUGAACCGAGAGGAUUAAGAGGGCCAACGGGAACCGACCGUGAGGGGGGGCUGGCAUUGGGGACCCGGGGGAAAACUAAGGGAGAUAGGGGUAAGCAAGACCCUGGGGCCCCAGAGUUACCUUCAUCCACUGUUCAGGCGCUCCCCGUCCGAGUGGGACCAACUAACCCGGACGGAGAGCGAACCUAUCAGUACUGGCCCUUUUCCACGAGUGACCUGUACAAUUGGAAUACCCAAAACCCUCCUUUCUCAGAGAAACCCCAAGGCCUCAUUGACCUCUUAGAUUCCAUUUUGUUCACUCAUAAUUCCACCUGGGAUGAUUGUCAGCAGCUGUUGCAGGUGCUCUUCACCACGGAAGAAUGGGAGCGAAUUCUGGCAGAGGCGCCGAAACGGGUCCCAGGGGUCGACGGGAGGGCAACCGCCCAGCCUCAUCUUGUGGACGAGGGGUUUCCCCUGUUGCGGCCUAACUGGGAUUUUGAGCGGGUGGAAGGUAGGGAGCGUCUCCAAGUGUACCGCCAGACUCUAGUGGCUGGCCUGCAGGCUGCAGCAAGAAAGCCGACAAAUCUGGCAAAGGUAAAUUUAGUAAGGCAAGAGCCCACUGAAAGCCCGGCAGCCUUCCUAGAGAGGCUGAUGGAAGCUUUCAGGCAAUAUACACCUAUGGACCCCCAGGCUGAGGAGUCACGCGCUGCAGUUCUGUUAGCGUUCGUGAAUCAGGCAGCCCCAGAUAUUAGGAAGAAAUUACAAAAGGUAGAGGGAUUGGGAGAACAGACAAUACAGGAUUUACUGAAAGUAGCUGAAAAGGUAUUUAAUAAUAGGGAAACCCCAGAAGAAAGGGAAGAGCGAAUUCGGCGGGAGUAAAGGGAAUUAGCGGAGAAGAUCAGGAAAGAAGAUAGGGAACAUAGGGCGAGGGAAAACCGGAAGAACCAGAAGGAGCUAGCCCAGAUUCUUUUUGCGGGGAUAAAGGCCGGAACAGAAUUGAGGGAACCUCGAGACCCCCGGACGGGAGAAAAAGAAAAACCAAAAAGGCAGGCCCUAAAGAAGGAUCAGUGCGCCUACUGCAAAGAACAGGGGCACUCGGAAAACGAGUGCCCUAAGAGGGACUCAAGGAGAGGAAUGACCCAGAGAGAGAAAAUCCCCCCUGGAACUCGAGAUCUAUAUGCGGGGGAAGACAGUGACUAGGGGAGUCGAGACUCGGCACCCCUCCCCGAGUCCUGGGUAGCCAUACAUGUGGAGGGGAAACCCGUUGGCUUCAUGGUAGAUACUGGCGCCCAACACUCUGUUUUAAAUAAAAAACUGGGACCAAUGUCUAAGAAAACCAGCUUAGUGCAAGGAGCCACGGGGACAAAAAGAUAUUGUUGGACCACAGAAUGGAAAGUAAAUCUGGGGACCCACCAGGUGUCCCAUUCGUUUUUGGUGAUACCAGAAUGCCCAGCCCCUCUACUUGGAAGAGACUUGUUGACUAAAGUUAAUGCUCAGAUCCAUUUUGACCCCGGGAGAAUGUCAGUCACGGAUGGACUUGGACAACCGAUACAUGUCUUGUCCCUAGCCUUAAGAGAUGAAUACAGACUUUUUGCGCCUAAGCCCUCAGAGACCAUAGCACUAGAUGUACAACCAUGGGUCCAUAAAUAUCCAUUGGCCUGGGCAGAAACAGCAGGAAUGGGACUAGCCAAACAGAGACAUCCGGUCGUCAUCGAGCUAAAGGCCGAGGCAGUUCCUGUGAGGGUGAGACAGUACCCUAUGAGCCAAGAAGCUCGGCGGGGGAUCACUCCCCACAUUCGACGGCUCAUGGAGGCCAGAAUUCUCAGGCGAUGCCAAUCCCCACACCCCCUUACUGCCGGUGAAGAAGCCAGGGGGGACAGAUUACAGACCUGUCCAAGACCUGCGAGAAGUCAACAAACGGGUGAGUGACAUACACCCAACUGUCCCUAACCCGUAUACCCUCCUGAGCAGUUUACUGCCUGAGUACACUUGGUACACUGUGCUGGACUUGAAGGAUGCCUUUUUCAGCCUACCCCUGGCAGUUCGGAGCCAGGAGAUAUUUGCCUUUGAGUGGACUGAGGGGGAGGGCCAACCGGUAGUACAAUUAACUUGGACCCGCCUCCCACAGGGGUUCAAGAACUCCCCUACCUUGUUUAAUGAGGCUCUGAGUGAGGACCUCUAAGAAUAUCGGGCUUGCCACCCAGAGGUCAUUCUGCUACAAUAUGUAGAUGACCUUAUGUUGGCUGGAACCACAGAGGAAGCUUGCAGCCGUGCCACUGGGGACCUAUUACAGACCCUAGGCAUCUCGGGGUAUCGCGCUAGCGCAAAGAAGGCACAAAUAGCCCGGCAAGAGGUCACCUAUUUGGGGUAUAAGAUCAGGCAGGGGCAAAGGUGGCUAACCCAGGCCAUGAAAGAAACAAUAUUGCAGAUACCAGAGCCCAAAAACCCCCGCCAGGUGAGAGAGUUUCUGGGGACUGUUGGAUAUUGCAGACUGUGGAUUAUGGGGUUUGCUGAGAAGGCCCGGCCCUUAUAUGAGGGAAGUAAAGAGACCCCAAACUGGACUUGGACUGAGCCAACGAAACAGGCUUUCCAGACACUCAGACGGGCCCUACUAGAAGCCCCAGCCCUUGCCCUGCCUAACCCAAAUAAGCCAUUCCAGCUGUUUGUAGAUGAAAAGCAAGGAAUAGGAAAGGGGGUCUUGACUCAACAAUGGGGACCAUGGAAGCGGCCGGUAGCAUACCUUUCGAAGCGAUUAGACCCGGUGGCCGCUGGGUGGCCCCCUUGCCUUCGCAUCAUUGCAGCUACAGCCCUCCUCGUCCGCGACGCUGACAAGUUGACGUAUGGACAGCAACUCUCGGUUUACACCCCCCACGCCGUAGAAGGGGUUUUAAAGCAGCCGCCGGGUAAGUGGAUCUCCAAUGCCCGCUUGACACACUACCAGGCCUUGCUGCUCGAUGCCCCACGGGUGCGUUUUCAGACCCCUUGCUUCCUAAAUCCGGCCACGCUCCUACCCAACCCAGAGAAGGACAGCCCUCUCCAUAAUUGCAGUGAGAUACUGGCUGAGGCCCUGGCGGCACGAAAAGACUUAACUGAUGUACCCCUAAGCAACAGGGAGCUAGUAUGGUUCACCGAUGGGAGCAGUUAUGUAAAAGAUGGGCAAAGGAAGGCGGGAGCCGCCAUAGUUGAUGAUUCAGGGCAGACGAUAUGGGCUGAGACACUACCCCCAAACACUUCUGCACAAAAAGCAGAAUUGAUUGCCCUAACACAGGCUCUGGAGCAAGCCAAAGGGAAGAGAGUCACCAUUUUUACUGACAGCCGAUAUGCUUUCAGCACUGCCCAUAUGCAAGGUCCCAUAUACCAAGAAAGGGGAUUUCGGACAGCUGAGGGAAAAGAGGUCAAAAAUCUGCCUGAGAUUCGCAGGAUCUUGGAAGCUGUCCAACUACCCCAGGCAGUAGCUAUAGUACAUGUCCCCGGUCACCAGAAAGGAGAAGACCCUAAGGCGCAGGGCAAUCGUGCUGCUGAUGCGGCCGCUCGAGAAGCGGCUAGCCGGGACUAUGGUGCCCUCAUAUUAGCCGUGGGACUUCCACCUCCUUGUAUGGGGACCUUGCCACCAGUUCCCGAAUAUUCCCUCCCUGAUCUCGCCUGGAUCAACAAGGAUACCACCCUCCAGAAAGAUGACCAAGAUGGAUGGUACCGAGACCAAAUCAACAACCUGAUCUUGCCUGCCACCCUGGGUCGUCACCUGUGUGAACACCUGCACACAACUACACACUUGGGAGAAAAAAAGAACCUAACACUUCUCCAGACGGCCUGCCUGAGGUUCCCUCGACAAAAUGCCACUGUACGAGAGAUAAUUCAAGCCUGCGAAGCGUGCCAGCUGAUGAGGGCAGAGAAGAAGCAGCACUCGGGAACGAGGUACCGAGGGGAAAAGCCAGGGCAACAUUGGGAGAUAGAUUUCACUGAGGUAAGGCCAGGCAAGUAUGGGUACCGCUAUCUGUUGGUUCUGGUAGAUACCUUCUCGGGGUGGGUGGAAGCUUUCCCCACUAAGGGAGAGACAGCAAUACUGGUUGCUAAAAAGAUCUUAGAGGAGAUAGGGCCUAGGUAUGGGCUGCCAGUGACUAUGGGCUCUUAUAAUGGACCUGCCUUUGUGAGCCAGAUUGUACAAGGGCUGGCCCAAGCUCUGGGGACGAAAUGGAAGUUACAUUGCGAAUAUAAUCCCCAGAGCUCAGGACAGGUUGAGAGAAAGAAUCGGACCCUAAAAGAAACUUUGACAAAGUUGGCAAUAGAGACUGGCGGGGACUGGGUGACCCUCCUCCCCUUUGCACUCUUUCGGGCACAUAACACCCGUUAUAAGCUGAAUCUUACUCCUUUUGAGAUUCUGUAUGGAAGACCCCCUCCUGUGUAUCCUAUUUUCGAAGGAAAAUGUCUGACCCCCUAUUUGGGACAAUUCCAGCAAACUCUGAUAGCAUUAAGUAAGAUGCAUAACCAUGUUUGGAAAUUGAUUCGAGAGAUACAUCAGGGCCAAAACAAGAGGGCCCUCCCCUCACAUAAUAUUGGCCCAGGUGAUUGGGUUUGGGUAAAACGACACCAAUCUAAAGUAUUAGAACCUAGAUGGAAAUGCCCUUAUGUUGUUCUUCUUACCACUCCUACCGCUGUCAAGGUCGACAGGAUUGGACCCUGGGUUCACUGCAAUCACGUGUGGCAAGCCACAUCGGAAGAACAGGAAAAAGCGCGAGCAGAAUGGAAGGCGAGUCCUCACCCGUCAAAUCCUUUGAAACUGAAACUCGUCUGCCGGGAGGCCUCCUAAUUCUCCUGCUGAUGGCAGCUCUCAUCGACCCAGGAGCGACCAGUCAUAACCCCCAUCAACCUGCUAAGAUCACAUGGAAACUCAACGACGGGCAAACUCAUGAGCUGCUCAAUGAGACCUCAGGAAUCCACCCUCCAAACACCUGGUGGCCGGACCUGAACUUCGACCUCUCAAGCCUCUUGACAAAGCAGGACGGUCUCUAUGAUAAGUACUAUAGGGAUGGGAUAAAAAACCAUAGGUUGGGGUUUUGGGCUUGCCCGGGCUAUGUAAGAAAUAACUGGAAAACCUGUGGUGGCAUAGAAAACUAUUAUUGCAGGAGCUGGAGUUGUGUGACCUCUUGUGAUGGACCCCAGAGGUGGGAUGUCGGAAACAGAGAUCUAGUUAGCUUCACCUUCAAGGACCGUAGACACCAGGGGCCUCAGGUACGAGUACAAUUUAACCAGGAACGGGCGAAGAAAGAAAACCGCUGGACCUCAGGACUGACUUGGGGUUUUCAGCUUCACGUAAAUUGGCCCGGCCCCUACCCAGGCGAGCUUUUAAUCAUUAAACAGGUUAUUGAGCCGGUGCAGGUACAUAGUUUAGGUCCCAGUCUGGUCAAAGCAUUACAGGGGCAUAAGGCGACCCCCAAGCCAACCACCUUCAGACCAAGCUUGCCGGGAACAUUUAACAUCUCCUCUACCCCGAGCCUCAGAGGCAAACUGACAGAAACCCCUGGCCCUCUGGCUGUUACCAUUAGCUCAGCAAUUCAGGACCCCCUAUGGGCCUUAGUGAAUGCAGCCUUUACGGUCUUAAACCAUACCAACCCUAAUGCGACCCAGUCCUGUUGGCUUUGUUAUAAUCUUCACCCACCCUUCUAUGAGGCCAUAGGCCUCAAUGUCUCUUACCACUUAUCUUCAGGCCAGAACCCACCCCCAUGCCGAUGGGAAGAACGCAAGGUUGGCCUCACAAUGAAUGAAGUCUGGGGACAGGGACUCUGUUUGAGCACAGUGCCACGUGAUAAAACUUCCCUCUGUGCCCGGACUAUUAGUAACCUAUGCUUACACGGCAAACAUUGGAUUGUGACAGAGGUUGGGGGUUGGUGGAUUUGUUCACAUACUGGGCUAACCCCAUUUUUACAUUGUGAAGAUUUUUAACCAGAGUCAAGAAUUCUGUGUCCUGGUUGCUGUAAUGCCAAAAAUCUUAUACCACUCUGAAGAGGUUAUGUACUCACAUUGGGACCGGGAAUUGCUAAGACAAAAGAGAGAGCCAAUCAGUGCGAUCACCAUGGCAGCCUUGUUCAGUCUUGGGCUGGCAGGAGCAGGGACAGGAAUAGCUUCACUAUCUCUGCAAGGCCAAGGGUUUUCCUCCCUACGAGCCGCCAUAGAUGAAGAUAUAACUCGCACAGAAGAAUCAAUCAGCCACUUAGAGAAGUCUCUGACUUCCUUGUCUGAGGUGGUCUUGCAGAAUAGGAGAGGAUUAGACUUGAUUUUUCUCCAACACGGUGGGGUCUGCGCGGCUCUGGGAGAAGAAUGUUGUUUCUAUGCAGACCAUACAGGAGUGGUAAGAGAAUCUAUGGCAAAAGUAAGAGAAGGGCUGGCGCAACGAAAGAGGGAACGGGAGGCCCAACAGGGAUGGUUUGAGUCUUGGUUUCAACGCUCCCCCUGGCUGACCACCUUAGUUUCCACCCUCCUGGGCCCGCUUAUAGUGCUAUUAUUAACACUUACAUUUGGCCCUUGUAUUUUAAACCGGCUAAUGUCAUUUAUUAAAGAACGUCUAAAUACCAUUCAGAUUAUGGUAUUGAGGCAGCAAUAUCAGAUGGUAGCCCAGGAUGAAGAGAAAGAUUCCUCUACAGGAACAACAAGACAGGGCGGAAUGUGAGGCUGCCAGGGUUAAUACCGUGACGGGCGGCCUGGACCUAAGUUUUAGCUUCCCCCGAAAUGGUAAGAUUCCCUACCCCCAUCAGGUAACCUGGAGCCAGCCAAUCAAUAUGCGCCCAGUAAGAACAAAGGGAGAGCUGAAAAGCCCGUGAACGCCCAGGUUUGAAAAAAGCCCGCGAAAGUCUGUACCAAUAGAAUUGCUUUGCAAGCAUGUAACCAAUCCGCAUAAGCCAGCUACUAACCGCUUUUGCAUAUCUUAUAAAUUUGUGUAACAAGCUUGAGCUCGGCGCUUUCUGACCCUACACCACUGUGAUGUUUGUGGCAGAAAGCCCUGGCUCGAGACAGUAAUAAACUUCCCUUUUUUGCGAGUUGCAUUGUCUUGGAAGCCUUCUCUCUCUUCCCGCUCGGGGAUUCGGACAUCGGGCAUAACAUUUGGGGGCUCGUCCGGGAUCCCUUGACCGGGAGAAGGGAACGCUUACAGGACAAAGGGGAAGGAUAAAUAAUAACACCGGUGCUCAGGAAAGUCCAGAGUAAAUCCAAGGCCCUGCUGGGAAGCAGGGAGGUAUCUGGCACAGAAGGAAGGCUUUCUAUAAAGGGGGGCCAGCCGGCGUGAGGCCGAGGCCAGCGGACGCGCUGGGAGGCAGCCGACUCCGCGGGAAGGAAAGUUCCUCUACCGACCCCGAGUCUGGUGAAAAGCGGACGCCAUUCUGUAAGGUGAAUCUGCUACCGGGAGGCAAGAAAAUUCAGGGGGCCCGAAAACCCAGCGCUGUGUCGUCGGCCGACGUUUGUUUGUCCGUGUGUUUGUCUUUGGCUCUCCGUGUUUUUGUGUGUGCCGGCAUUGUCUCUAGUCUCGUUCUCUUCUGGUGCAUCGUUCUUUCUCACUUCUGACUUAUUCUCCUUCUCUUCUUCUCUGAUCUGCCCUCAACUCCUUUUCUUUUCGGGAGUUUCAGUGAACAGGCGAACGGUUGUGGGGGCAUUUGAUGAGUCCUGGCCAGGGCUACACUCUGGCGGACUCUGAAGGCCCUACAAUAAGUAAGCCUCAGUAACUAGAGCCCGACCGGGUGAAACUCUCCUUUAACAUCCCUAACUGAGGACGUGGCCUAAAAUUCUUCUUGUGGGCACGGGUCAGGCACUUAAAGGCCAUUAGGGCACCUGCCACUUGAAGACUCCCGUGAGAGGAUAAGGGGGUCACGGAACGGACUAGAAACCCCUAGGGUGCCCGCCCCCAGCAAGAAAACUUCCGUGCAACGACGCCGGCACAUAAACAGUUCCAAAAGCAUACCAUAAGCCCAACCUCUUGGCCGCCACCACUCCCGGUAGGAUUUUUGGUGGUCGUUCUCAGUGACUUCCUCUCUCUCUUCCUUACCGUUUAUUCUUUGACCAUGGGGCAGGGAGAAUCUACCCCACUUUCUCUCAUGACUGACCAUUUUUCGGAUGUCAGGGCCAGGGCCCAUAACUUGUCUUUGCUAGUCAAGAAAAGUAAAUUAAUAACUUUUUGUUCUGCAGAGUGGCCCGCCUUUCAGGUUGGAUGGCCUCCGGAAGGCACCUUUCAACCGUCCAUCAUACAGGCUGUGAAGGAGAAGAUUAUGGCUCCUGAUCCCUGGGGCCAUCCGAGUCAGGUCCCCUAUGUCAUGGUCUGGCAGGAUCUAGUGGAAAAUCCGCCUAAAUGGUUAAAACCUUUUGUUCACAAACUUCCUAGUUCCUCCAAUUCACAGGUCCUGGUGAUGGAGACCCCCCGGAGGAAACCAAAAAGAAAGAGGACCCUAAACCAGUCCUUCAGGAAUCAUCUUAUCCAAACCUGAUAGAUCUAGAAACGGAGAUAAGGCCUCCGCCAUAUGUGCCCUCCUUGCAAUCCCCUCCGAGGAGAGAAGCUCCCACAGGUGAACCAAGAGGAUUAAGAGGGCCAACGGGAACCGACCGUGAGGGGGGGCUGGCAUUGGGGACCCGGGGGAAAACUAAGGGAGAUAGGGGUAAGCAAGACCCUGGGGCCCCAGAGUUACCUUCAUCCACUGUUCAGGCGCUCCCCGUCCGAGUGGGACCAACUAACCCGGACGGAGAGCGAACCUAUCAGUACUGGCCCUUUUCCACGAGUGACCUGUACAAUUGGAAGACCCAAAACCCUCCUUUCUCAGAGAAACCCCAAGGCCUCAUUGACCUCUUAGAUUCCAUUUUGUUCACUCAUAAUCCCACCUGGGAUGAUUGUCAGCAGCUGUUGCAGGUGCUCUUCACCACGGAAGAACGGGAGCGAAUUCUGGCAGAGGCGCGGAAACGGGUCCCAGGGGUCGACGGGAGGCCAACCGCCCAGCCUCAUCUUGUGGACGAGGGGUUUCCCCUGUUGCGGCCUAACUGGGAUUUUGAGCGGGUGGAAGGUAGGGAGCGUCUCCGAGUGUACCGCCAGACUCUAAUGGCUGGCCUGCGGGCUGCAGCAAGAAAGCCGACAAAUCUGGCAAAGGUAAAUUUAGUAAGGCAAGAGCCCACUGAAAGCCCGGCAGCCUUCCUAGAGAGGCUGAUGGAAGCUUUCAGGCAAUAUACACCUAUGGACCCCCAGGCUGAGGAGUCACGCGCUGCAGUUCUGUUAGCGUUCGUGAAUCAGGCAGCCCCAGAUAUUAGGAAGAAAUUACAAAAGGUAGAGGGAUUGGGAGAACAGACAAUACAGGAUUUACUGAAAGUAGCUGAAAAGGUAUUUAAUAAUAGGGAGACCCCAGAAGAAAGGGAAGAGCAAAUUCGGCGGGAGGAAAGGGAAUUAGCGGAGAAGAUCAGGAAAGAAGAUAGGGAACAUAGGGCGAGGGAAAACCGGAAGAACCAGAAGGAGCUAGCCCAGAUUCUUUUUGCGGGGAUAAAGGCCGGAACAGAAUUGAGGGAACCUCGAGACCCCCGGACGGGAGAAAAAGAAAAACCAAAAAGGCAGGCCCUAAAGAAGGAUCAGUGCGCCUACUGCAAAGAACAGGGGCACUGGAAAAACGAGUGCCCUAAGAGGGACUCAAGGAGAGGAAUGACCCAGAGAGAGAAAAUCCCCCCUGGAACUUGAGUUCUAUAUGCGGGGGAAGACAGUGACUAGGGGAGUCGAGACUCGGCACCCCUCCCCGAGUCCUGGGUAGCCAUACAUGUGGAGGGGAAACCCGUUGGCUUCAUGGUAGAUACUGGCGCCCAACACUCUGUUUUAAAUAAAAAACUGGGACCAAUGUCUAAGAAAACCAGCUUAGUGCAAGGAGCCACGGGGACAAAAAGAUAUUGUUGGACCACAGAAUGGAAAGUAAAUCUGGGGACCCACCAGGUGUCCCAUUCGUUUUUGGUGAUACCAGAAUGCCCAGCUCCUCUACUUGGAAGAGACUUGUUGACUAAAGUUAAUGCUCAGAUCCAUUUUGACCCCGGGGGAAUGUCAGUCACGGAUGGACUUGGACAACCGAUACAUGUCUUGUCCCUAGCCUUAAGAGAUGAAUACAGACUUUUUGCGCCUAAGCCCUCAGAGACCAUAGCACUAGAUGUACAACCGUGGGUCCAUAAAUAUCCAUUGGCCUGGGCAGAAACAGCAGGAAUGGGACUAGCCAAACAGAGACAUCCAGUCGUCAUCGAGCUAAAGGCCGAGGCAGUUCCUGUGAGGGUGAGACAGUACCCUAUGAGCCAAGAAGCUCGGCGGGGGAUCACUCCCCACAUUCGAUGGCUCAUGGAGGCCGGAAUUCUCAGGCGAUGCCAAUCCCCACACCCCCUUACUGCCGGUGAAGAAGCCAGGGGGGACAGAUUACAGACCUGUCCAAGACCUGCGAGAAGUCAACAAAUGGGUGAGUGACAUACACCCAACUGUCCCUAACCCGUAUACCCUCCUGAGCAGUUUACUGCCUGAGUACACUUGGUACACUGUGCUGGACUUGAAGGAUGCCUUUUUCAGCCUACCCCUGGCAGUUCGGAGCCAGGAGAUAUUUGCCUUUGAGUGGACUGAGGGGGAGGGCCAACCGGUAGUACAAUUAACUUGGACCCGCCUCCCACAGGGGUUCAAGAACUCCCCUACCUUGGUUAAUGAGGCUCUGAGUGAGGACCUCUAAGAAUAUCGGGCUUGCCACCCAGAGGUCAUUCUGCUACAAUAUGUAGAUGACCUUACGUUGGCUGGAACCACAGAGGAAGCUUGCAGCCGUGCCACUGGGGACCUAUUACAGACCCUAGGCAUCUCGGGGUAUCGCGCUAGCACAAAGAAGGCACAAAUAGCCCGGCAAGAGGUCACCUAUUUGGGGUAUAAGAUCAGGCAGGGGCAAAGGUGGCUAACCCAGGCCAUGAAAGAAACAAUAUUGCAGAUACCAGAGCCCAAAAACCCCCGCCAGGUGAGAGAGUUUCUGGGGACUGUUGGAUAUUGCAGACUGUGGAUUAUGGGGUUUGCUGAGAAGGCCCGGCCCUUAUAUGAGGGAAGUAAAGAGACCCCAAACUGGACUUGGACUGAGCCAAUGAAACAGGCUUUCCAGACACUCAGAUGGGCCCUACUAGAAGCCCCAGCCCUUGCCCUGCCUAACCCAAAUAAGCCAUUCCAGCUGUUUGUAGAUGAAAAGCAAGGAAUAGGAAAGGGGGUCUUGACUCAAAAAUGGGGACCAUGGAAGUGGCCGGUAGCAUACCUUUCGAAGCGAUUAGACCCGGUGGCCGCUGGGUGGCCCCCUUGCCUUCACAUCAUUGCAGCUACAGCCCUCCUCAUCCGCGACGCUGACAAGUUGACGUAUGGACAGCAACUCUCGGUUUACACCCCCCACGCCGUAGAAGGGGUUUUAAAGCAGCCGCCGGGUAAGUGGAUCUCCAAUGCCCGCUUGACACACUACCAGGCCUUGCUGCUCGAUGCCCCACAGGUGCGUUUUCAGACCCCUUGCUUCCUAAAUCCGGCCACGCUCCUACCCAACCCAGAGAAGGACAGCCCUCUCCAUGAUUGCAGUGAGAUACUGGCUGAGGCCCUGGCGGCACGAAAAGACUUAACUGAUGUACCCCUAAGCAACAGGGAGGUAGUAUGUUUCACCGAUGGGAGCAGUUAUGUAAAAGAUGGGCAAAGGAAGGCGGGAGCCGCCAUAGUUGAUGAUUCAGGGCAGACGAUAUGGGCUGAGACACUACCCCCAAACACUUCUGCACAAAAAGCAGAAUUGAUUGCCCUAACACAGGCUCUGGAGCAAGCCAAAGGGAAGAGAGUCACCAUUUUUACUGACAGCCAAUAUGCUUUCAGCACUGCCCAUAUGCAAGGUCCCAUAUACCAAGAAAGGGGAUUUCGGACAGCUGAGGGAAAAGAGGUCAAAAAUCUGCCUGAGAUUCGCAGGAUCUUGGAAGCUGUCCAACUACCCCAGGCAGUAGCUAUAGUACAUGUCCCCGGUCACCAGAAAGGAGAAGACCCUAAGGCGCGGGGCAAUCGUGCUGCUGAUGCGGCCGCUCGAGAAGCAGCUAGCCGGGACUAUGCUGCCCUCAUAUUAGCCGUGGGACUUCCACCUCCUUGUAUGGGGACCUUGCCACCAGUUCCCGAAUAUUCCCUCCCUGAUCUCGCCUGGAUCAACAAGGAUACCACCCUCCAGAAAGAUGACCAAGAUGGAUGGUACCGAGACCAAAUCAACAACCUGAUCUUGCCUGCCACCCUGGGUCGUCACCUGUGUGAACACCUGCACACAACUACACACUUGGGAGAAAAAAAGACCCUAACACUUCUCCAGACGGCCUGCCUGAGGUUCCCUCGACAAAAUGCCACUGUACGAGAGAUAAUUCAAGCCUGCAAAGCGUGCCAGCUGAUGAGGGCAGAGAAGAAGCAGCACUCGGGAACGAGAUACCGAGGGGAAAAGCCAGGGCAACAUUGGGAGAUAGAUUUCACUGAGGUAAGGCCAGGCAAGUACGGGUACCGCUAUCUGUUGGUUCUGGUAGAUAGCUUCUCGGGGUGGGUGGAAGCUUUCCCCACUAAGGGAGAGACAGCAAUAGUGGUUGCUAAAAAGAUCUUAGAGGAGAUAGGGCCUAGGUAUGGGCUGCCAGUGACUAUGGGCUCUGAUAAUGGACCUGCCUUUGUGAGCCAGAUUGUCCAAGGGCUGGCCCAAGCUCUGGGGACGAAAUGGAAGUUACAUUGCGAAUAUAAUCCCCAGAGCUCAGGACAGGUUGAGAGAAUGAAUCGGACCCUAAAAGAAACUUUGACAAAGUUGGCAAUAGAGACUGGCGGGGACUGGGUGACCCUCCUCCCCUUUGCACUCUUUCGGGCACGUAACACCCCUUAUAAGCUGAAUCUUACUCCUUUUGAGAUUCUGUAUGGAAGACCCCCUCCUGUGUAUCCUAUUUUCGAAGGAAAAUGUCUGCCACCCCCUACUUUGGGACAAUUCCAGCAAACUCUGAUAGCAUUAAGUAAGAUGCAUAACCAUGUUUGGAAAUUGAUUCGAGAGAUACAUGAGGGCCAAAACAAGAGGGCCCUCCCCUCACAUAAUAUUGGCCCAGGUGAUUGGGUUUGGGUAAAACGACACCGAUCUAAAGUAUUAGAACCUAGAUGGAAACGCCCUUAUGUUGUUCUUCUUACCACUCCUACCGCUGUCAAGGUCGACAGGAUUGGACCCUGGGUUCACUGCAAUCACGUGCGGCAAGCCACAUCGGAAGAACAGGAAAAAGCGCGAGCAGAAUGGAAGGCGAGUCCUCACCCGUCAAAUCCUUUGAAACUGAAACUCGUCCGCCGGGAGGCCUCCUAAUUCUCCUGCUGAUGGCAGCUCUCAUCGACCCAGGAGCGACCAGUCAUAACCCCCAUCAACCUGCUAAGAUCACAUGGAAACUCAACGACGGGCAAACUCAUGAGCUGCUCAAUGAGACCUCAGGAAUCCACCCUCCAAACACCUGGUGGCCGGACCUGAACUUCGACCUCUCAAGCCUCUUCGCAAAGCAGGACGGUCUCUAUGAUAAGUACUAUAGGGAUGGGAUAAAAAACCAUAGGUUGGGGUUUUGGGCUUGCCCGGGCUAUGUAAGAAAUAACUGGAAAACCUGUGGUGGCAUAGAAAGCUAUUAUUGCAGGAGCUGGAGUUGUGUGACCUCUUGUGAUGGACCCCAGAGGUGGGAUGUCGGAAACAGAGAUCUAGUUAGCUUCACCUUCAAGGACCGUAGACACCAGGGGCCUCAGGUACGAGUACAAUUUAACCAGGAACGGGCGAAGAAAGAAAACCGCUGGACCUCAGGACUGACUUGGGGUUUUCAGCUUCACGUAAAUUGGCCCGGCCCCUACCCAGGCGAGCUUUUAAUCAUUAAACAGGUUAUUGAGCCGGUGCAGGUACAUAGUUUAGGUCCCAAUCUGGUCAAAGCAUUACAGGGGCAUAAGGCGACCCCCAAGCCAACCACCUUCAGACCAAGCUUGCCGGGAACAUUUAACAUCUCCUCUACCCCGAGCCUCAGAGGCAAACUGACAGAAACCCCUGGCCCUCUGGCUGUUACCAUUAGCUCAGCAAUUCAGGACCCCCUAUGGGCCUUAGUGAAUUCAGCCUUUACGGUCUUAAACCAUACCAACCCUAAUGCGACCCAGUCCUGUUGGCUUUGUUAUAAUCUUCACCCACCCUUCUAUGAGGCCAUAGGCCUCAAUGUCUCUUACCACUUAUCUUCAGGCCAGAACCCACCCCCAUGCCGAUGGGAAGAACGCAAGGUUGGCCUCACAAUGAAUGAAGUCUGGGGACAGGGACUCUGUUUGGGCACAGUGCCACGUGAUAAAACUUCCCUCUGUGCCCGGAGUAUUAGUAACCUACGCUUACACGGCAAACAUUGGAUUGUGCCAGAGGUUGGGGGUUGGUGGAUUUGUUCACAUACUGGGCUAACCCCAUGUUUACAUUGUGAAGAUUUUUAACCAGAGUCAAGAAUUCUGUGUCCUGGUUGCUGUAAUGCCAAAAAUCUUAUACCACUCUGAAGAGGUUAUGUACUCACACUGGGACCGGGAAUUGCUAAGACAAAAGAGAGAGCCAAUCAGUGCGAUCACCAUGGCAGCCUUGUUCAGUCUUGGGCUGGCAGGAGCAGGGACAGGAAUAGCUUCACUAUCUCUGCAAGGCCAAGGGUUUUCCUCCCUACGAGCCGCCAUAGAUGAAGAUAUAACUCGCAUAGAAGAAUCAAUCAGCCACUUAGAGAAGUCUCUGACUUCCUUGUCUGAGGUGGUCUUGCAGAAUAGGAGAGGAUUAGACUUGAUUUUUCUCCAACACGGUGGGGUCUGCGCGGCUCUGGGAGAAGAAUGUUGUUUCUAUGCAGACCAUACAGGAGUGGUAAGAGAAUCUAUGGCAAAAGUAAGAGAAGGGCUGGCGCAACGAAAGAGGGAACGGGAGGCCCAACAGGGAUGGUUUGAGUCUUGGUUUCAACGCUCCCCCUGGCUGACCACCUUAGUUUCCACCCUCCUGGGCCCGCUUAUAGUGCUAUUAUUAACACUUACAUUUGGCCCUUGUAUUUUAAACCGGCUAAUGUCAUUUAUUAAAGAACGUCUAAAUACCAUUCAGAUUAUGGUAUUGAGGCAGCAAUAUCAGAUGGUAGCCCAGGAUGAAGAGAAAGAUUCCUCUACAGGAACAACAAGACAGGGCGGAAUGUGAGGCUGCCAGGGUUAAUACCGUGACGGGCGGCCUGGACCUAAGUUUUAGCUUCCCCCGAAAUGGUAAGAUUCCCUACCCCCAUCAGGUAACCUGGAGCCAGCCAAUCAAUAUGCGCCCAGUAAGAACAAAGGGAGAGCUGAAAAGCCCGUGAACGCCCAGGUUUGAAAAAAGCCCGCGAAAGUCUGUACCAAUAGAAUUGCUUUGCAAGCAUGUAACCAAUCCGCUUAAGCCAGCUACUAACCGCUUUUGCAUAUCUUAUAAAUUUGUGUAACAAGCUUGAGCUCGGCGCUUUCUGACCCUACACCACUGUGAUGUUUGUGGCAGAAAGCCCUGGCUCGAGACAGUAAUAAACUUCCCUUUUUUGCGAGUUGCAUUGUCUUGGAAGCCUUCUCUCUCUUCCCGCUCGGGGAUUCGGACAUCGGGCAUAACAUUUGGGGGCUCGUCCGGGAUCCCUUGACCGGGAGAAGGGAACGCUUACAGGACAAAGGGGAAGGAUAAAUAAUAACACCGGUGCUCAGGAAAGUCCAGAGUAAAUCCAAGGCCCUGCUGGGAAGCAGGGAGGUAUCUGGCACAGAAGGAAGGCUUUCUAUAAAGGGGGGCCAGCCGGCGUGAGGCCGAGGCCAGCGGACGCGCUGGGAGGCAGCCGACUCCGCGGGAAGGAAAGUUCCUCUACCGACCCCGAGUCUGGUGAAAAGCGGACGCCAUUCUGUAAGGUGAAUCUGCUACCGGGAGGCAAGAAAAUUCAGGGGGCCCGAAAACCCAGCGCUGUGUCGUCGGCCGACGUUUGUUUGUCCGUGUGUUUGUCUUUGGCUCUCCGUGUUUUUGUGUGUGCCGGCAUUGUCUCUAGUCUCGUUCUCUUCUGGUGCAUCGUUCUUUCUCACUUCUGACUUAUUCUCCUUCUCUUCUUCUCUGAUCUGCCCUCAACUCCUUUUCUUUUCGGGAGUUUCAGUGAACAGGCGAACGGUUGUGGGGGCAUUUGAUGAGUCCUGGCCAGGGCUACACUCUGGCGGACUCUGAAGGCCCUACAAUAAGUAAGCCUCAGUAACUAGAGCCCGACCGGGUGAAACUCUCCUUUAACAUCCCUAACUGAGGACGUGGCCUAAAAUUCUUCUUGUGGGCACGGGUCAGGCACUUAAAGGCCAUUAGGGCACCUGCCACUUGAAGACUCCCGUGAGAGGAUAAGGGGGUCACGGAACGGACUAGAAACCCCUAGGGUGCCCGCCCCCAGCAAGAAAACUUCCGUGCAACGACGCCGGCACAUAAACAGUUCCAAAAGCAUACCAUAAGCCCAACCUCUUGGCCGCCACCACUCCCGGUAGGAUUUUUGGUGGUCGUUCUCAGUGACUUCCUCUCUCUCUUCCUUGCCGUUUAUUCUUUGACCAUGGGGCAGGGAGAAUCUACCCCACUUUCUCUCAUGACUGACCAUUUUUCGGAUGUCAGGGCCAGGGCCCAUAACUUGUCUUUGCUAGUCAAGAAAAGUAAAUUAAUAACUUUUUGUUCUGCAGAGUGGCCCGCCUUUCAGGUUGGAUGGCCUCCGGAAGGCACCUUUCAACCGUCCAUCAUACAGGCUGUGAAGGAGAAGAUUAUGGCUCCUGAUCCCUGGGGCCAUCCGAGUCAGGUCCCCUAUGUCAUGGUCUGGCAGGAUCUAGUGGAAAAUCCGCCUAAAUGGUUAAAACCUUUUGUUCACAAACUUCCUAGUUCCUCCAAUUCACAGGUCCUGGUGAUGGAGACCCCCCGGAGGAAACCAAAAAGAAAGAGGACCCUAAACCAGUCCUUCAGGAAUCAUCUUAUCCAAACCUGAUAGAUCUAGAAACGGAGAUAAGGCCUCCGCCAUAUGUGCCCUCCUUGCAAUCCCCUCCGAGGAGAGAAGCUCCCACAGGUGAACCAAGAGGAUUAAGAGGGCCAACGGGAACUGACCGUGAGGGGGGGCUGGCAUUGGGGACCCGGGGGAAAACUAAGGGAGAUAGGGGUAAGCAAGACCCUGGGGCCCCAGAGUUACCUUCAUCCACUGUUCAGGCGCUCCCCGUCCGAGUGGGACCAACUAACCCGGACGGAGAGCGAACCUAUCAGUACUGGCCCUUUUCCACGAGUGACCUGUACAAUUGGAAGACCCAAAACCCUCCUUUCUCAGAGAAACCCCAAGGCCUCAUUGACCUCUUAGAUUCCAUUUUGUUCACUCAUAAUCCCACCUGGGAUGAUUGUCAGCAGCUGUUGCAGGUGCUCUUCACCACGGAAGAACGGGAGCGAAUUCUGGCAGAGGCGCGGAAACGGGUCCCAGGGGUCGACGGGAGGCCAACCGCCCAGCCUCAUCUUGUGGACGAGGGGUUUCCCCUGUUGCGGCCUAACUGGGAUUUUGAGCGGGUGGAAGGUAGGGAGCGUCUCCGAGUGUACCGCCAGACUCUAAUGGCUGGCCUGCGGGCUGCAGCAAGAAAGCCGACAAAUCUGGCAAAGGUAAAUUUAGUAAGGCAAGAGCCCACUGAAAGCCCGGCAGCCUUCCUAGAGAGGCUGAUGGAAGCUUUCAGGCAAUAUACACCUAUGGACCCCCAGGCUGAGGAGUCACGCGCUGCAGUUCUGUUAGCGUUCGUGAAUCAGGCAGCCCCAGAUAUUAGGAAGAAAUUACAAAAGGUAGAGGGAUUGGGAGAACAGACAAUACAGGAUUUACUGAAAGUAGCUGAAAAGGUAUUUAAUAAUAGGGAGACCCCAGAAGAAAGGGAAGAGCAAAUUCGGCGGGAGGAAAGGGAAUUAGCGGAGAAGAUCAGGAAAGAAGAUAGGGAACAUAGGGCGAGGGAAAACCGGAAGAACCAGAAGGAGCUAGCCCAGAUUCUUUUUGCGGGGAUAAAGGCCGGAACAGAAUUGAGGGAACCUCGAGACCCCCGGACGGGAGAAAAAGAAAAACCAAAAAGGCAGGCCCUAAAGAAGGAUCAGUGCGCCUACUGCAAAGAACAGGGGCACUGGAAAAACGAGUGCCCUAAGAGGGACUCAAGGAGAGGAAUGACCCAGAGAGAGAAAAUCCCCCCUGGAACUUGAGUUCUAUAUGCGGGGGAAGACAGUGACUAGGGGAGUCGAGACUCGGCACCCCUCCCCGAGUCCUGGGUAGCCAUACAUGUGGAGGGGAAACCCGUUGGCUUCAUGGUAGAUACUGGCGCCCAACACUCUGUUUUAAAUAAAAAACUGGGACCAAUGUCUAAGAAAACCAGCUUAGUGCAAGGAGCCACGGGGACAAAAAGAUAUUGUUGGACCACAGAAUGGAAAGUAAAUCUGGGGACCCACCAGGUGUCCCAUUCGUUUUUGGUGAUACCAGAAUGCCCAGCUCCUCUACUUGGAAGAGACUUGUUGACUAAAGUUAAUGCUCAGAUCCAUUUUGACCCCGGGGGAAUGUCAGUCACGGAUGGACUUGGACAACCGAUACAUGUCUUGUCCCUAGCCUUAAGAGAUGAAUACAGACUUUUUGCGCCUAAGCCCUCAGAGACCAUAGCACUAGAUGUACAACCGUGGGUCCAUAAAUAUCCAUUGGCCUGGGCAGAAACAGCAGGAAUGGGACUAGCCAAACAGAGACAUCCAGUCGUCAUCGAGCUAAAGGCCGAGGCAGUUCCUGUGAGGGUGAGACAGUACCCUAUGAGCCAAGAAGCUCGGCGGGGGAUCACUCCCCACAUUCGAUGGCUCAUGGAGGCCGGAAUUCUCAGGCGAUGCCAAUCCCCACACCCCCUUACUGCCGGUGAAGAAGCCAGGGGGGACAGAUUACAGACCUGUCCAAGACCUGCGAGAAGUCAACAAAUGGGUGAGUGACAUACACCCAACUGUCCCUAACCCGUAUACCCUCCUGAGCAGUUUACUGCCUGAGUACACUUGGUACACUGUGCUGGACUUGAAGGAUGCCUUUUUCAGCCUACCCCUGGCAGUUCGGAGCCAGGAGAUAUUUGCCUUUGAGUGGACUGAGGGGGAGGGCCAACCGGUAGUACAAUUAACUUGGACCCGCCUCCCACAGGGGUUCAAGAACUCCCCUACCUUGGUUAAUGAGGCUCUGAGUGAGGACCUCUAAGAAUAUCGGGCUUGCCACCCAGAGGUCAUUCUGCUACAAUAUGUAGAUGACCUUAUGUUGGCUGGAACCACAGAGGAAGCUUGCAGCCGUGCCACUGGGGACCUAUUACAGACCCUAGGCAUCUCGGGGUAUCGCGCUAGCACAAAGAAGGCACAAAUAGCCCGGCAAGAGGUCACCUAUUUGGGGUAUAAGAUCAGGCAGGGGCAAAGGUGGCUAACCCAGGCCAUGAAAGAAACAAUAUUGCAGAUACCAGAGCCCAAAAACCCCCGCCAGGUGAGAGAGUUUCUGGGGACUGUUGGAUAUUGCAGACUGUGGAUUAUGGGGUUUGCUGAGAAGGCCCGGCCCUUAUAUGAGGGAAGUAAAGAGACCCCAAACUGGACUUGGACUGAGCCAAUGAAACAGGCUUUCCAGACACUCAGAUGGGCCCUACUAGAAGCCCCAGCCCUUGCCCUGCCUAACCCAAAUAAGCCAUUCCAGCUGUUUGUAGAUGAAAAGCAAGGAAUAGGAAAGGGGGUCUUGACUCAAAAAUGGGGACCAUGGAAGUGGCCGGUAGCAUACCUUUCGAAGCGAUUAGACCCGGUGGCCGCUGGGUGGCCCCCUUGCCUUCACAUCAUUGCAGCUACAGCCCUCCUCAUCCGCGACGCUGACAAGUUGACGUAUGGACAGCAACUCUCGGUUUACACCCCCCACGCCGUAGAAGGGGUUUUAAAGCAGCCGCCGGGUAAGUGGAUCUCCAAUGCCCGCUUGACACACUACCAGGCCUUGCUGCUCGAUGCCCCACAGGUGCGUUUUCAGACCCCUUGCUUCCUAAAUCCGGCCACGCUCCUACCCAACCCAGAGAAGGACAGCCCUCUCCAUGAUUGCAGUGAGAUACUGGCUGAGGCCCUGGCGGCACGAAAAGACUUAACUGAUGUACCCCUAAGCAACAGGGAGGUAGUAUGGUUCACCGAUGGGAGCAGUUAUGUAAAAGAUGGGCAAAGGAAGGCGGGAGCCGCCAUAGUUGAUGAUUCAGGGCAGACGAUAUGGGCUGAGACACUACCCCCAAACACUUCUGCACAAAAAGCAGAAUUGAUUGCCCUAACACAGGCUCUGGAGCAAGCCAAAGGGAAGAGAGUCACCAUUUUUACUGACAGCCAAUAUGCUUUCAGCACUGCCCAUAUGCAAGGUCCCAUAUACCAAGAAAGGGGAUUUCGGACAGCUGAGGGAAAAGAGGUCAAAAAUCUGCCUGAGAUUCGCAGGAUCUUGGAAGCUGUCCAACUACCCCAGGCAGUAGCUAUAGUACAUGUCCCCGGUCACCAGAAAGGAGAAGACCCUAAGGCGCGGGGCAAUCGUGCUGCUGAUGCGGCCGCUCGAGAAGCAGCUAGCCGGGACUAUGCUGCCCUCAUAUUAGCCGUGGGACUUCCACCUCCUUGUAUGGGGACCUUGCCACCAGUUCCCGAAUAUUCCCUCCCUGAUCUCGCCUGGAUCAACAAGGAUACCACCCUCCAGAAAGAUGACCAAGAUGGAUGGUACCGAGACCAAAUCAACAACCUGAUCUUGCCUGCCACCCUGGGUCAUCACCUGUGUGAACACCUGCACACAACUACACACUUGGGAGAAAAAAAGACCCUAACACUUCUCCAGACGGCCUGCCUGAGGUUCCCUCGACAAAAUGCCACUGUACGAGAGAUAAUUCAAGCCUGCAAAGCGUGCCAGCUGAUGAGGGCAGAGAAGAAGCAGCACUCGGGAACGAGAUACCGAGGGGAAAAGCCAGGGCAACAUUGGGAGAUAGAUUUCACUGAGAGGUUAAUGAUUCUUAUGUUCUGAGCGGCCUUAUCAGGUUAAUAAAAACGACAGUUUCCUGACAGGAGCAGAAAUCUUCCUAUUUUGCGGACUUCUAGAAGAGAGAAAUCUGCAAGGCAAAAACGAAUGGCAGGACUUUGGCCUGGAUUUCCUGAGCUUAGGAGGCUAUUUGUUGUUUGUCUUUGGCAUUUGGUCUGAAACACUUUUUUUAUACAUAUAAUUGUUUUAUUAUUGAUUUA